rnacentral:rRNA from 1 species
GACGAACGCUGGCGGCGUGCUUAACACAUGCAAGUCGAACGAAGUGGCGAACGGGUGAGUAAUACGUGGGUAACCUGCCCUCCUUUUUGGGAUAAGCCUUGGAAACGGGGUCUAAUACCGAAUAAAGGGGGAUGGGCUCGCGGCCUAUCAGCUUGUUGGUGGGGUGAUGGCCUACCAAGGCGGUGACGGGUAGCCGGCCUGAGAGGCUGACCGGCCACAUGUGGACUGAGAUACGGCCCAGAAGACUAUGGGCGGCAGCAGUUGGGGCUAUUGCACCAUGGGCGAAAGUCUGAUGCAGCGUCGCCGCGUGGGGGAUGAAGGCUUUCGGGUGGUAAACCUCUUUAGCUAUCGAACGGGUAGGUGCAGAAGAAGCGCCGGCUAACUACGUGCCAGCAGCCGCGGUAAUAC